AUCGAGACGAUCCGGCCGAAGGCUUCGGUCAGGAGCGAAGCGCGGC
rnacentral:sRNA from 1 species